GCAGGUCCGUAUUGCCGCUCCUUCUUGAUAACUUCAAACGACGCAUAUCAACAAUGCCGCCUAAAAAGAAAAGCUCGGGUAAAAAGUCAGCCAAGGUCAAGUCUGCUGCGCUCAUAGAUGGACUCACCAAAGACGAGCUGUCAAAGGAGCAGG